GUUGCAGGCAGAAACCCAACCGGUGAAGCUAGCGCUGCGAAGUUGCCAGGAGACGGGCGGAAAUCCCACCGGUGAAGCUAGCAUGGCUGGCAACCUUCGUCGGUUCCCAACUUGCCAGUGCUUUGCCAGGCAGGAAUCCCACCGGAGCAGCUGGCUGGGAAAAGCCAGGUAGAAAUCCCACCGGUGGAGUUUGGACGCAGCGGAUUAGGGGCGGAAAUGGCACCGGUGCAGCUGGUGUUGGGAAUUCCAGGAAGGAAGAAGGCAGGAAUCACACCGGUGCAGCUCGGUGGGGAAAGCCAGGUAGAAAUCCCACCGGUGGAGUUUGGGUGGAGCUGCGGGCGGAAAUCCCACCGGCGAAGCUAGUAUUGGGAAAUUGGCGGCAGACGGGCAGAAAUCCCAAUGGUGCAGCUAGUAUUGGGAAUGAUGGGAAUGGGCUCAAGUUCCCAAGGUUGCCAGCAGACAGGCGGAAAUCACACUGGUGCAGCUAGUAUUGGGAAUUGGGGUGGAGUCGCAGGCAGAAACCCAACCGGUGAAGCUAGCCUGCAGUUUUCAAGGUUGCCAGCAGAGGAACGAAGCAGGUAGGAAUCCCACCGGUGCAGCUCGGUGGGGAAAAGCCAGGUAGAAAUCCCACCGGUGGAGUUUGGGUAGAGUUGCGGGCGGAAAUCCCACGGGUGAAGCUGGUAUUGGAAAUGGGUUGCCAGCAGACAGGCGGAAAUCCCACUGGUGCAGCUCGGUGGGAAAAGCCAGGUAGAAAUCCCACCGGUGGAGUUUGGGUGGAGUUGCGGGCGGAAAUCCCACUGGUGAAGCUAGCGCUGGGAAAGGGGUUGCAAGGCUUGCCAACAGACGGGCAGAAAUCCAACCAGUGAAGCUAGCGCUGGGAAAUGGCCAGGAGACAGGCAGAAAUCGCAAUGGUGCAGCUAGUAUUGGGAAUUUGGGUGGAUGGUCUGCAAUUCUCAAGGUUGCCAGCCGAGGAAGGAAGCAGGCAGGAAUCACACCGGUGCAGCUCCGUAGGAAAAGCCAGGUAGAAAUUCCCCCGGUGGAGUUCCAGGCGGGAAUCCCACUGGUGUAGUUUGUGCUGGGAAAUUGCCAGGAGACAGGUAGAAAUCGCACCGGUGCAGCUUGGUGGGGAAAAGCCAGGUAGAAAUCCCACCGGUGGAGUUUGGGUGGAGUUCCAGGCAGAAAUCCCACUGGUGUAGUUAGCUCUGGGAAAGUGGCAGGAGACAGGCAGAAAUCGCACUGGUGCAGCUUGGUUGAGAAAUGCCAGGUAGAAAUCCCACCGGUGGAGUUUCGGUGGAGUUCCAGGCGGAAAUCCCACUGGUGAAGCUAGUAUUGGAAAUGGGUUGCCAGCAGACAGGCGGAAAUCCCACUGGUGAAGCUAGUAUUGGAAAUGGGUUGCCAGCAGACAGGCGGAAAUCACACUGGUGCAGCUCGGUGGGGAAAAGCCAGGUAGAAAUCCCACCGGUGGAGUUUGGGGGGAGUUGCGGGCGGAAAUCCCACCGGUGAAUCUAGUGCUGGGAAAUUGCCUGCCAGGGUGACCAGAAGACAGGCAGAAAUUGCAAUGGUAAAGCUAGUAUUGGGGAAAACUAGCAGGAGGCAGGCAGGAAUAACACCGGUGCAGCUGGGUGGGGAAAAAGGCAGGUAGAAAUCCCACCGGUGGAGUUUGGAUGCAGAGGAUUCCGGGCGGCAAUGCCACCGGCAAAGCUAGCGCUGGGAUAUUGCCAGGAGACGGGCAGAAAUCGCACUGGUGCAGCUACUAUGGGGAAUUUGGGUGGAGUGGCAGGCGGAAAUCUCACCGGCGAAGCUAGCGCUGGGAAAUGGGCUGCCGGCAGACAAGCGGAAAUCGCACUGGUGCAGCUCGGUGGGGUAAAGCCAGGUAGAAAUCCCACCGGUGGAGUUUGGGUGGAGUUGCGGGCGGAAAUCCCACCGGCGAAGCUAGUAUAGGAAAUGGGUUGCCAGCAGACAGGCGGAAAUCACACUGAUGCAGCUCGGUGGGAAAAGCCAAAGCAGGGCUUUGCCAGGCAGGAAUAACACCGGUGCAGCUUGGUGGGGAAAGCCAGGUAGAAAUCCCACUGGUGGAGUUUGGGUGGAGUUCCAGGCGGAAAUCCCACUGGAGAAGCUAGCACUGGGAAAUGGGUUGCCAGGGUUGCCAGCAGACGGGCAGAAGUCCAACCGGUGAAGCUAGCGCUGGGAAAUUGCCAGGAGACGGGCAGAAAUCACAAUGGUGCAGUUAGUAUUGGGGGGAAACGGCCUGCAGUUCUCAAGGUUGCCAGCCAAGGAAGGAAGCAGGCAGGAAUCACACCGGUGCAGCUCGGUAGGAAAAGCCAGGUAGAAAUCCCACCGGUGGAGUUUGGGUGGAGUUCCGGGCGGAAAUCCCCCUGGUGUAGUUUGGGCUGGGAAAUUGCCAGGAGACAGGUAGAAAUCGCACCGGUGCAGCUUGGUGGAGAAAAGCCAGGUAGAAAUCCCACCGGUGGAGUUUGGAGGCAGAGGAUUACGGGCGGAAAUCCCACUGGUGUAGUUAGCUCUGGGCAUUUGGGUGGAGGGUCUGCAGUUCUCAAGCUGGCCAGAAGACGGGCAGAAAUCUUAAUGGUGCAGCUAUGAUUAAGAAUUGGGGGGGGCGGCCUGCAGUUCCCAAGGUGGCCGGAAGACGGGCGGAAAUCCCACCGGUGCAGCUGCUAUUGCUGGCACCCUUGCGCACGGCGAAGCAGUGCCUGGCGAGGCAGCAAACUCACCGGUGGAGCUCAGUGGGGGAAAAGUCAGGUAGAAAUCCCCCUGGUGGAGUUUGGGUGGAGUUGCGGGCGGAAAUCCCAGCGGUGAAGCCAGUGCUGGGAAUUUGGGUGGAGUUGCAGGCAGAAAGCCAACCGGUGAAGCUAGCGCUGGGAAGUUGCCGGGAGACGGGCGGAAAUCCCACCGGCGAAGCUAGCGCUGGGGAAUUGCCACCAGACGGGCGGAAAUCGCACUGGUGCAGCUACUAUUGGGAAUUGGGGUGGAGUGGCAGGCGGAAAUCCCACCGGUGAAGCUAGUGCUGGGAAUUUGGGUGGAGUUGCAGGCAGAAAGCCAACCGGUGAAGCUAGCGCUGUGAAGUUGCCGGGAGACGGGCGGACAUCGCACUGGUGCAGCUACUGCUGGGAAUUGGGGUGGAGUGGCAGGAGGAAAUCUGACCGGCGAAGCUAGCGCUGGGAAAUUGCCGGGAGACGGGCGGAAAUCGCACUGGUGCAGCUAGUAUUGGGAGUUUGGGUGGAGUGGCAGGCGGAAAUCCCACCGGUGAAGCUAAUGCUGGGAAAUGGGUUGGAAGGGUGGCCAGCGGACAGGCGGAAAUCACCAUGGUGCAGCUAGUAUUGGGAGUUUGGGUGGAGUUGCAGGCAGAAACCCAACCGGUGAAGCAAACGCUGUGAAGUUGCCAGGAGACGGGCGGAAAUCCCACCGGUGAAGCUAGCAUGGCUGGCAACCUUCGUCAGUUCCCAACUUGCCAGGCAGGAAUCCCACCGGAGCAGCUUGCUGGGAAAAGCCAGGUAGAAAUCCCACCGGUGGAGUUCGGACGCAGCGGAUUACGGGCGGAAAUCGCACCGGUGCAGCUGGUAUUGGGAAUCCCAGGAAGGAAGAAGGCAGAAAUAACACCGGUGCAGCUCCGUGGGAAAAGCCAGG